GAUGAACGCUAGCGGCAGGCUUAACACAUGCAAGUCGAGGGGUAACAGAGGUGCUUGCACUUGCUGACGACCGGCGAACGGGUGCGUAACGCGUAUAGAAUCUACCUCUUACUAAGGGAUAGCCCAGAGAAAUUUGGAUUAAUAUCUUAUAGUAUGUUGACUUGGCAUCAAGAUAACAUUAAAGGUUACGGUGAGAGAUGACUAUGCGUCCUAUUAGCUAGAUGGUGUGGUAACGGCACACCAUGGCAACGAUAGGUAGGGGCCCUGAGAGGGGGAUCCCCCACACUGGUACUGAGACACGGACCAGACUCCUACGGGAGGCAGCAGUGAGGAAUAUUGGACAAUGGAGGCAACUCUGAUCCAGCCAUGCCGCGUGCAGGAAGACUGCCCUAUGGGUUGUAAACUGCUUUUAUACAGGAAGAAACACCUCUACGUGUAGAGGCUUGACGGUACUGUAAGAAUAAGGAUCGGCUAACUCCGUGCCAGCAGCCGCGGUAAUACGGAGGAUCCAAGCGUUAUCCGGAAUCAUUGGGUUUAAAGGGUCCGUAGGUGGAUAAUUAAGUCAGAGGUGAAAUCCUGCAGCUUAACUGUAGAAUUGCCUUUGAUACUGGUUAUCUUGAGUUGUUAUGAAGUAGUUAGAAUAUGUAGUGUAGCGGUGAAAUGCAUAGAUAUUACAUAGAAUACCAAUUGCGAAGGCAGAUUACUAAUAAUAUACUGACACUGAUGGACGAAAGCGUGGGGAGCGAACAGGAUUAGAUACCCUGGUAGUCCACGCCGUAAACGAUGGUCACUAGCUGUUCGAAUUUCGGUUUGAGUGGUUAAGCGAAAGUGAUAAGUGACCCACCUGGGGAGUACGUUCGCAAGAAUG
rnacentral:rRNA from 1 species